CACGUAGGGGGCAAGCGUUGUCCGGAUUUAUUGGGCGUAAAGAGCUCGUAGGCGGCUCAGUAAGUCGGGUGUGAAACCUCCAGGCUCAACCUGGAGACGCCAUCCGAUACUGCUGUGGCUAGAGUCCGGUAGGGGAGCGUGGAAUUCCCAGUGUAGCGGUGAAAUGCGCAGAUAUUGGGAGGAACACCAGCGGCGAAGGCGGCGCUCUGGGCCGGAACUGACGCUGAGGAGCGAAAGCGUGGGUAGCGAACAGG
rnacentral:rRNA from 1 species